CUCAAUUGAAUUCAUUAGUAAAAUAUAAGAUAUACUCAAAUGCUUUGAGCUCAUCAAAAUCAAAUAGGGUUUCAAUCAAUCACUCCACAAUCUCCCCCUUUUUGAUGAUGACAAAACAUUGAGUAUAUAUAAAGUGAAUUGCUUAAUAAACAAGGAAAUAAAAUCCAUAAAUGAAUUCAAAUGUCUGGUAAUUUAAUAUAUCCAAGCUUGAAAGGUGUGAAGCAAUAAAUUUUGGAGUUAAAGCUCCCCCUUUCAUUUGGAAUUAUAUAAGCCUUCAUAUCAUGCAAUCAAUUGUUUGGCUUAUAUAUAUUUAAUGA
rnacentral:lncRNA from 1 species